rnacentral:rRNA from 1 species
CACGUAGGGCGCGAGCGUUGUCCGGAAUUAUUGGGCGUAAAGAGCUCGUAGGCGGCCUGUUGCGUCCGCUGUGAAAGCCCGGGGCUUAACCCCGGGUCUGCAGUGGAUACGGGCAGGCUAGAGGUAGGUAGGGGAGAAUGGAAUUCCCGGUGUAGCGGUGAAAUGCGCAGAUAUCGGGAGGAACACCGGUGGCGAAGGCAGGUCUCUGGGCAUUAACUGACGCUGAGGAGCGAAAGCAUGGGGAGCGAACAGG